GGUUCUUUCUUUGUUUGCGGAGUCUUUUCAGGAGAAGAAGCUCUAGUCCUUGUAUUAGGCUGUUUUUCCUGAAUGAAAACUUUAACUGUUGCGUCACCAAGAUACUUGCGAUGAGAAGAAGCUUUGAUCAUUGCAUUAGGAUAUUUUUCUUGAAGAAGAAGUUUAAGCGUCUUUGAGUUUGCAGGUGCUUCACCAAGAUCCUUGCCUGGAGAAG
rnacentral:misc_RNA from 1 species